UAGAGAAUCCAAACCCAAUCCAUGCUGUGGGGUUGAGCUUCCCACCUCUGGAGGAGAGGGAUCCUGCCUGCCAAGGUUACCCAUCAGUGCCUGCUCUGAUGAGACAAUGCUGGAGACUUCUCUGUUUGACCAGCUGAAUUUCCACCCAUACACCUGGAUUUUGAUCCUGUGGGUCAGGCUGAAGCUUUCCUCACUUCUUCAGAGACCGCACUAACCAAGGUCAGCAGAACUGCCUGAGCCAUCAGCCAUCAGCCAGUAGGGAAAAUGAUCAUGUGGCAUCUUGUCAGGCUUGUCAUGAAGGGUGAGGUCCCCAGUGACCUGGUUCUUUGCUUCCAGAGGAGACCAAUGGUCUUGCUGUCCAGGUGCAGAGAUUCCCAGAAGGUUUUUCACGGAGGACAGAGGGGAAAAAACCUGGCUGCAGAACCCCAAGUGGGGCUGGGACCGAAUCACUGGCAAGAACCCCACGGACCCCCCCUUCACCCACGUAAUCAGAGGGAGGUGAGCCUUGCCUUGAGCACAGACACAAUGUUUCUAUUUUUGAUGUCCUGGAUCUUUAAAGUUGCAUCCACCGCUGAAUUAAGCAGUGUUUGCUUUUCAAACCUUCCACAUUUGUAUUUUUAGCUCCGUUUUGGCAUCACUUUUUUUGGUUGGAAUAUAUAACACACUGGGUUGUUUAGUGUGCCUGGACCGAGUUCAGCCGAUGUGUAACUCCACGGGCUGGAGCAGAAGCUCCGUUCAAGGUGAAUUACACUCUAUGGGGCUGAGGAAAUACAGCUUCUGUAGAAAGGCAGCUCGGCUCCCUCGGUAAAUGCUACACUAUUUCCAUCCGUGGUUAUUCCUUUGUGGUUUGGGUUAUGUAUUUACAUUUUACGGAAUAAAUACUACAGCU